AUUGAACGCUGGCGGCAUGCCUUACACAUGCAAGUCGAACGGCAGCACGGGAGCAAUCCUGGUGGCGAGUGGCGAACGGGUGAGUAAUAUAUCGGAACGUGCCCAGUCGUGGGGGAUAACGUAGCGAAAGCUACGCUAAUACCGCAUACGAUCUAUGGAUGAAAGCGGGGGAUCGCAAGACCUCGCGCGAUUGGAGCGGCCGAUAUCAGAUUAGGUAGUUGGUGGGUAAAGGCUCACCAAGCCAACGAUCUGUAGCUGGUCUGAGAGGACGGCCAGCCACACUGGAACUGAGACACGGUCCAGACUCCUACGGGAGGCAGCAGUGGGGAAUUUUGGACAAUGGACGCAAGUCUGAUCUAGCCAUUCCGCGUGCAGGAUGAAGGCCCUCGGGUUGUAAACUGCUUUAUACAGGAGAAACACCUCUACGUGUAGAGACUUGACGGUACUGUAAUGAAUAAGGACCGGCUAACUCCGUGCC
rnacentral:rRNA from 1 species